ACGAACGCUGGCGGCGUGCUUCACACAUGCAAGUCGCACGGAAAGGCCCUGCUUUUGUGGGGUGCUCGAGUGGCGAACGGGUGAGUAACACGUGAGUAACCUGCCCUUGACUUUGGGAUAACUUCAGGAAACUGGGGCUAAUACCGGAUAGGAGCUCCUGCUGCAUGGUGGGGGUUGGAAAGUUUCGGCGGUUGGGGAUGGACUCGCGGCUUAUCAGCUUGUUGGUGGGGUAGUGGCUUAUCAAGGCUUUGACGGGUAGCCGGCCUGAGAGGGUGACCGGCCACAUUGGGACUGAGAUACGGCCCAGACUCCUACGGGAGGCAGCAGUGGGGAAUAUUGCACAAUGGGCGGAAGCCUGAUGCAGCAACGCCGCGUGCGGGAUGACGGCCUUCGGGUUGUAAACCGCUUUCGCCUGUGGCGAAGCGUGAGUGACGGUAAUGGGUAAAGAAGCACCGGCUAACUACGUG
rnacentral:rRNA from 1 species